rnacentral:rRNA from 1 species
GAUGAACGCUGGCGGCGUGCUUAACACAUGCAAGUCGAACGGUGAAGCCAAGCUUGCUUGGUGGAUCAGUGGCGAACGGGUGAGUAACACGUGAGCAACCUGCCCUGGACUCUGGGAUAAGCGCUGGAAACGGCGUCUAAUACUGGAUAUGAGCCUUCAUCGCAUGGUGGGGGUUGGAAAGAUUUUUUGGUCUGGGAUGGGCUCGCGGCCUAUCAGCUUGUUGGUGAGGUAAUGGCUCACCAAGGCGUCGACGGGUAGCCGGCCUGAGAGGGUGACCGGCCACACUGGGACUGAGACACGGCCCAGACUCCUACGGGAGGCAGCAGUGGGGAAUAUUGCACAAUGGGCGAAAGCCUGAUGCAGCAACGCCGCGUGAGGGAUGACGGCCUUCGGGUUGUAAACCUCUUUUAGCAGGGAAGAAGCGAAAGUGACGGUACCUGCAGAAAAAGCGCCGGCUAACUACGUGCCAGCAGCCGCCGCAG